rfam:[Clostridium] sordellii strain JGS6382 genome assembly, chromosome: 1
UUAAAGACUAAGAAAAAGAGGAGUAUGCAAGCUCAACUUACAGAGAGGAAAGUUCAUCGGCUGAAAAACUUUCUAAGAAACGAAUUGCAGAAGGUAGCUUUGGAGUUUCUAAGCAGAAAUAGUAGUAAGCUUAGACGGUGAGAAUCGUUAAAUUCAUUAAGAGUUAUAUAAAUUUUAAAUUUCAAGUUUAUAUAAAAUUAAGGUGGUAACGCGAGCUUUUCGUCCUUAAA